rnacentral:rRNA from 1 species
UACGUAGGGACCGAGCGUUGUCCGGAUUCAUUGGGCGUAAAGAGCUCGUAGGCGGCUGCUCAAGUCGAAUGUGAAAACUCGAGGCUCAACCUCGAGCCUGCAUUCGAUACUGGGCGGCUAGAGUCUGGUAGGGGGAUCUGGAAUUCCUGGUGUAGCGGUGGAAUGCGCAGAUAUCAGGAGGAACACCAAUGGCGAAGGCAGCUCGCUGGGACGGUACUGACGCUGAGGCGCGAAAGCGUGGGGAGCAAACAGG